ACGAACAUCGAGAUUUACAAUCAUCCGUCCCGGCAGCUGGCCAAGACCAUCAAUCUCCGACGGCGGCUAGACCGCUGCGUGGAUCAAAUUUAUGUGGCGGGCCGUGUUUACUGAGAGCCGGCAUUUAAACUCCUGUAACCGAACUGAACCGACGUAGAGCUGCUUUUGACGGAUUGGGUUUAUGGCUCGAAUCGGACCGAAAGAUUGUUCCUUAAUAGAUUCUGUUUGGAAUGUGUUGUUGGUAAAAUGUAACUGGUUUUGGUGGGCUUUGAUCUCUGAAGCGAUAGCCAGUCUUGUUACUAACCUUACCCAAAUGGACAGUGUAUCUUAUCUUUAUCGCAAAAUUGAUUGGUCACUUGACUGCUCUAUCCCCUAUUUAAUUUCCAGUAACAAAGCACAAAUCUUGACAACCAAUUAUUUUUCGAGUAUUUGUCAUGUAUUUGAGUGGCCAAUGGAGCCAAGAAUUAGAUGGACUUACCCGA